AUGGCCGAAUGCUUCAAUAGGGUGCUCAAGGGUGUACGAGCAUUACCCAUGAUGGCAAUAGUUUAAUACACAUUUGACAAGAUGAAUGCGUACUUUCUAAAGUACUCAAUGUAAAUGAAUGCGCAGAUUGUAGGUGAGAACAAGCGCAAGUACAAGUACAAGUUCCCACCCAAGGUUGAUGAAUGGUUGGAAUUUCAAUCAUGGAAAGAGGACUCCCAAGAAGCUAUAUUAUAUAACAACGACAAUGGGUCGUACGAAGUGAAAGAGCCAGGAGGUACCACGAACGAUGGCCGUCAACACGAAGGUCAGGCUUUUAAGGAAUCAAUAAAUUUGGGUCGAAUACUGUACCCUCGAAAACUAUUGUGAUCCCCUAUACUUGUGGGUUAUCAUACCGCAUCUUGCGUUAGGAAUGUGGACGUCAAUCACCCGCUCACCGUGAAGGAGUCAAAGUUCUCAAUCAUGACGGUCAAGUAUACAUGGGCUCCCGGAUUUCAUCCAUACUUUGACCAAUCACAAUGGCAUGAGUACCGCGGAGUUCAACUAUGGCACGAUUCGGAUUUGAAGGUGGUUAAACAAGGAAGACGUAACACAAAACGUCUAAGAGGUGACAUGGAAGGAUGGGGCCAUGGUGGCGGACGCGAAUCGGGCAAUGACCAAUUCCAAGAGCCUCGUGAGAGCUCCAGUUGUGGGGAAUGCAAAGGUUAG
rnacentral:rRNA from 1 species